rnacentral:rRNA from 1 species
GUCGAGAAUCUUUCACAAUGGGGGCAACCCUGAUGGAGCGACGCCGCGUGGAGGAUAAGGUCUUCGGAUUGUAAACUCCUGUCAUGCGUGAACAAGGUUGCUUGGUUAAUACCUGGGCAAAUUGAUGGUAACGCAAGAGGAAGAGACGGCUAACUCUGUGCCAGCAGCCGCGGUAAUACAGAGGUCUCAAGCGUUGUUCGGAAUCACUGGGCGUAAAGGGUGCGUAGGGGGCGUGGUAAGUCAGAUGUGAAAGCCCGGGGCUCAACCGCGGAACUGCAUCCGAUACUGCCAUGCUAGAGUACUGGAGAGGUGACUAGAAUUCUCGGUGUAGCAGUGAAAUGCGUAGAUAUCGAGAGGAAUACCAAAGGCGUAGGCAGGUCACUGGACAGUUACUGACACUGAGGCACGAAGGCCAGGGGAGCGAACGGGAUUAGAUACCCCUGUAGUCC